CCUACGGGCGGCAGCAGUGAGGAAUAUUGGUCAAUGGGCGCUAGCCUGAACCAGCCAAGUAGCGUGAAGGAUGACUGCCCUAUGGGUUGUAAACUUCUUUUAUAUGGGAAUAAAGUGCAGUAUGUAUACUGCUUUGCAUGUACCUUAUGAAUAAGGAUCGGCUAACUUCGUGCCAGCAGCCGCGGUAAUACGGAGGAUCGGAGCGUUAUCCGGAUUUAUUGGGUUUAAAGGGAGCGUAGGCGGGUUGUUAAGUCAGUUGUGAAAGUUUGCGGCUCAACCGUAAAAUUGCAGUUGAAACUGGCAGCCUUGAGUACAGUAGGGGAUGGCGGAAUUCGUGGUGUAGCGGUGAAAUGCUUAGAUAUCACGAAGAACUCCGAUUGCGAAGGCAGCCUGCUGGACUGUAACUGACGCUGAUGCUCGAAAGUGUGGGUAUCAAACAGGAUUAGAUACCCCAGUAGUC
rnacentral:rRNA from 1 species